CCUACGGGAGACUGCAGUGAGGAAUAUUGGUCAAUGGGCGCGAGCCUGAACCAGCCAAGUAGCGUGAAGGAUGACUGCCCUACGGGUUGUAAACUUCUUUUAUAAAGGAAUAAAGUGAGGCACGUGUGCCUUUUUGUAUGUACUUUAUGAAAAAGCAUCGGCUAACUCCGUGCCAGCAGCCGCGGUAAUACGGAGGAUGCGAGCGUUAUCCGGAUUUAUUGGGUUUAAAGGGUGCGUAGGCGGAUCGUUAAGUCAGUGGUCAAAUUGUGGGGCUCAACCCAUUCCCGCCAUUGAAACUGGCGUUCUUGAGUAGAAGAGAGGUAUGCGGAAUGCGUGGUGUAGCGGUGAAAUGCAUAGAUAUCACGCAGAACCCCGAUUGCGAAGGCAGCAUGCCGGCUUCCGACUGACGCUGAAGCACGAAAGCGUGGGGAUCAAACAGGAUUAGAUACCCCUGUAGUC
rnacentral:rRNA from 1 species